rnacentral:rRNA from 1 species
AAUGAACGCUGGCGGCAGGCCUAACACAUGCAAGUCGAACGGAUCCUUCGGGAUUAGUGGCGGACGGGUGAGUAACGCGUGGGAACAUACCCUUUGGUACGGAAUAGCCUCGGGAAACUGGGAGUAAUACCGUAUGUGGUCGAGAGACGAAAGAUUUAUCGCCAAAGGAUUGGCCCGCGUUGGAUUAAGUAGUUGGUGGGGUAAUGGCCUACCAAGCCGACGAUCCAUAGCUGGUUUGAGAGGAUGAUCAGCCACACUGGGACUGAGACACGGCCCAGACUCCUACGGGAGGCAGCAGUGGGGAAUCUUAGACAAUGGGGGAAACCCUGAUCUAGCCAUGCCGCGUGAUCGAUGAAGGCCUUAGGGUUGUAAAGAUCUUUCAGGUGGGAAGAUAAUGACUGUACCACCAGAAAAAGCCCCGGCUAACUCCGUGCCAGCAGCCGCCGUAA